rnacentral:rRNA from 1 species
AGAGUUUGAUCCUGGCUCAGAACGAACGCUGGCGGCAGGCCUAACACAUGCAAGUCGAGCGCGCCCUUCGGGGUGAGCGGCGGACGGGUUAGUAACGCGUGGGAACGUACCCUUUGGUAGGGAAUAGCCACUGGAAACGGUGAGUAAUACCCUAUGAGCCCUUCGGGGGAAAGAUUUAUCGCCAAAGGAUCGGCCCGCGUUAGAUUAGGUAGUUGGUGGGGUAAUGGCCUACCAAGCCUACGAUCUAUAGCUGGUUUUAGAGGAUGAUCAGCAACACUGGGACUGAGACACGGCCCAGACUCCUACGGGAGGCAGCAGGUGGGAAUCUUGGACAAGUGGGGCAACCCUGAUCCAGCCAUGCCGCGUGAGUGAAGAAGGCCUUAGGGUACGUAAAGCUCUUUCGCCUGUGAAGAUAAUGACGGUAGCAGGUAAACGAAACCCCGGCUAACUCCGUGCCAGCCGCCGC